rnacentral:rRNA from 1 species
GCGGCGUGCCUAAUACAUGCAAGUCGAGCGAACCACUUCGGUGGUGAGCGGCGAACGGGUGAGUAACACGUAGGUGAUCUGCCCAUCAGACGGGGACAACGAUUGGAAACGAUCGCUAAUACCGGAUAGGACGAAAGUUUAAAGGUGCUUCUGGCACCGCUGAUGGAUGAGCCUGCGGCGCAUUAGCUAGUUGGUAGGGUAAAGGCCUACCAAGGCGACGAUGCGUAGCCGACCUGAGAGGGUGAACGGCCACACUGGGACUGAGACACGGCCCAGACUCCUACGGGAGGCAGCAGUAGGGAAUCUUCGGCAAUGGGCGAAAGCCUGACCGAGCAACGCCGCGUGAAUGAUGAAGGCCUUCGGGUUGUAAAAUUCUGUUAUAAGGGAAGAACGACUUUAGUAGGAAAUGGCUAGAGUGUGACGGUACCUUAUGAGAAAGCCACGGCUAACUACGUGCCAGCAGCCGCGGUAAUACGUAGGUGGCGAGCGUUAUCCGGAAUUAUUGGGCGUAAAGAGCGCGCAGGUGGUUGAUUAAGUCUGAUGUGAAAGCCCACGGCUUGACCGUGGAGGGUCAUUGGAAACUGGUCGACUUGAGUGCAGAAGAGGGAAGUGGAAUUCCAUGUGUAGCGGUGAAAUGCGUAGAGAUAUGGAGGAACACCAGUGGCGAAGGCGGCUUCCUGGUCUGUAACUGACCCUGAGGCGCGAAAGCGUGGGGAGCAAACAAGAUUAGAUACCCUGGUAGUCCCCGCCGUACACGAUGAGUGCUAAGUGUUGGGGGUCAACCUCAGUGCUGAAGUU